AGCAGCCGCCGCGGUAAUACGAAGGGUGCAAGCGUUAAUCGGAAUUACUGGGCGUAAAGCGUGCGUAGGCGGUGAGUUAAGUCUGCUAUGAAAUCCCCGGGCUCAACCUGGGAAUGGCAGUGGAUACUGGCUCGCUAGAGUGUGUCAGAGGAUGGUGGAAUUCCCGGUGUAGCGGUGAAAUGCGUAGAGAUCGGGAGGAACAUCAGUGGCGAAGGCGGCCAUCUGUGACAACACUGACGCUGAGGCACGAAAGCGUGGGGAGCAAACAGGAUUAGAUACCGUGUAGUCCCUGUCUCUUAUACA
rnacentral:rRNA from 1 species